rnacentral:rRNA from 1 species
GACGAACGCUGGCGGCGUGCCUAAUACAUGCAAGUCGAGCGCUUGCAUAUUGAAAGCUUGCUUUCAAUAUGCUUGAGCGGCGGACGGGUGAGUAACACGUGGGCAACCUGCCUGUAAGACUGGGAUAACUUCGGGAAACCGGAGCUAAUACCGGAUAAUGCUUUUGAACACAUGUUCGAAAGCUGAAAGAUGGUUUCGGCUAUCACUUACAGAUGGGCCCGCGGCGCAUUAGCUAGUUGGUGAGGUAACGGCUCACCAAGGCGACGAUGCGUAGCCGACCUGAGAGGGUGAUCGGCCACACUGGGACUGAGACACGGCCCAGACUCCUACGGGAGGCAGCAGUAGGGAAUCUUCCGCAAUGGACGAAAGUCUGACGGAGCAACGCCGCGUGAGUGAUGAAGGUUUUCGGAUCGUAAAACUCUGUUGUUAGGGAAGAACAAGUACCGGAGUAACUGCCGGUACCGGACGUACCUAA